CCUCCCCCACUUCCAUUCGGUCCUGAAGUCAGGUCACGUGAUAACCAGAAUCAAGAUGGCGCUGUUUUGGGCGCAGUGUCGCAACUGUCGCACCAGCAGCAGUAGUAAGUUUUAUAGUAAUAAUAACAACAACACUAAUUACUGUCAACCGAUGACCGGUUGUCUUUCCCAUGCAUUACCUCUAUUACCGUUGUUGUUUUAAUUGUUUGGAACCAAAAAGAAAAAAAAAAACGGAAAUUCAUUUUUAUUUACUAUUUUUGCUUGUGUUUGAAAGUGUAUAAUUAUCAGUCAUGGCGAAGUGGACUGCUACAAAUACCAACGAAAGAUAUGGAGUCGUGAUUUACAGCUAUCAUGGCACUGCAGAAAAGACUUUACCCCUCACUGUUGGACAAACUGUAUAUAUUGAAGAAGAAACAGAUGGGUGGUAUAAAGGUUACAAAAUUAAAAACAAACAUGAGAGGGGAAUAUUUCCAAAGACUUAUGUGUUCAUCAAAGAAGCCACACUUUCAGGAUGUCAAGAACUCAUUUACACAGGUGAACCACCAAUUGUUGCAGAGAUUACAAGUGUACUUCGAGAAUGGAGUAACAUAAUGUAUCAACUUUAUGAGAACUGUGAUGAAAAAUUUCUUGACAUCCGAAAUUCAGUACUAGAUUUAAUGGAAUGGCGGAGUAAGAUUUUAUCCCAAAAAAUGACUGUGGAUGAGUUACGUGAUUUGAAGCACAAAGCCACCUCUAAAAUCGAUUCUGGAAAUGUUUCCUUAAAGAUGGACCUUGUGGUGCGUGAUGAUGAAGGAAAUAUUAUUGAUCCUCAGAAAACCAGCACUGUAAAGAUUUAUCGUCAGCAUGUUCUUGCAGCUAAAAGAAUCCAAGAAAAUAGUCGAAAUUCCACUGAAGUAGAAGUGAAACCAUUAAUUCAACCAACAUUUGGAUUGUACGUGAUGUUGCGGAACUUUGUAUGUCGAAUUGGGGAAGAUGCAGAUCUGCUGAUGAAUCUCUACGAUGAACAAACAGGAAACUUUAUUAGUGAAAAUUAUGUUGUGAAAUGGGGUAAAGAAGGAAUGCCUAAAGAUAUAGAUAUGUUGAAUAAUUUCAGAGUUGUGUUCACAGAUCUUGGUUCCAAAGACAGACAACGAGAAAAAGUGUUCUUAUUAUUCCAGAUAGUUCGAAUUGGUACCAUGGAUCCUCGGGAUAUGGAUAACAAAAAACAAACUCAAGGCUUACGGCGACCUUUUGGUGUUGCUGCUAUGGAUGUUACUGCUUUCAUUCAAGGAGGCUCACUUGAGUGCAAUGAAGACACACAGCAUUUUAUUCAUGUCCAUAUGUGUGGUGAAAGAGAAUUUCUUGAAACUGUGAUAAAGAAAAUUACAAGUGGACGCGAAAGUGAUCAUAAAGGCCAAGGUGUGUGGGUUUCCAUUAAAGUGCUGGAAGGAGAUUCACAACAGAUCUGGGAUGAUUACCCACAUUUAGUUUUACCUGGGACAGCAAUAUCUCGUAAAAUUGGCUUUCCAGAGGUUAUCAUGCCAGUAGAAGGUGAUGUCCGGAAUGAAAUUUACAUUACAUUAAUGCAAGGCGAAUUUAACAAAGGCUCCAAGACAUCAGAGAAAAAUGUUGAGGUGACGAUCCAAGUUUGCAAUCAAAAAGGAGAGACACUUGAGAAUGUGAUAAGUGGCGGUGCUGGUGGUGAGAUGAUGUCAAGGUACAGUUCCUGUAUUUAUUAUCACGAAGACCGACCAAAAUGGUUUGAGACUGUGAAGGUUGCUAUUUCCACUGAAGAAGAAUUCCGAGGUCUUCAUCUGAAAUUCCUAUUUAAACAUCGUUCCUCAAGUGAAGGUAAAGACAAACUGGAGAAACCAUUUGCUAUGGCAUUCAUCAAACUAAUGAAUGAGGAUGGUACGACAUUAAAAGACACAAUCCAUGACUUGCUCAUCUAUAAAGCUGAAUCAAAAAAAGUUGAUAACUUCAAAGACUACUUUGAUUUCCCAUCUACACGGUAUGAGUUUGAAAAUUGUUCAAGCAAUUUUGUGAACAGCAGGUCCAGUUUACAAAGAGGUGGCCUUAUCAUCAGCACCAAAGAUUUUGUUCAGAUCAAAACAUAUGUAUGUUCAACAAAAUUAACACAUAAUGUAAAUCUCCUUGGUUUAUUAAAAUGGCAAGAAAUAUUAAAUGAUUCUGUUGCCUUAAAGAAGCAUCUAGAAGAGUUGAUGACUGUGGAUGGUGAAGAGAUUGUGAAGUUUUUACAAGAUCUGCUUGAUUCAUUAUUCAGUAUUUUAAUGCAAAACAACAAUUCAGAUACCUAUGAAAAUUUAGUGUUCACAUCUUUGACCCAUAUCAUCUCUCUAAUUUCUGAUCGAAAAUACCAGCAGUUCAGGCCUGUCCUUGAUACUUACAUUACAAUAACUUUCAGUUUUGCAAUGGCCUACAGUAAAUUAAUUGUUAUCUUGAAAGACUAUGUUGAUUCAGCAACUGAGUCCAAUCCUACACUUUUCAUUGCCAUGAAAUCCUUGGAGUAUAUCAUGAAAUUUAUAAUCCGAUCUCGCUUUCUCUUUUCUAUAAUCAAUGAUGAACGCGGCCGAGAACAGUUUGAGAUUAGUUUGAGACAGCUUUUUAUGUCUAUCAAUCAAAUGAUGGCUCACAAAGCUGACACUACUAUCCUAGUUCAAGGUGCUGCAUUGAAAUAUAUUACAGCCACAAUACCUGAUGUGAUUUCUGUAUUUAGUCCAACUGAACUCAGUAAACUAUUGGUGGCAUUCUUUGAUGCCAUACCACCGAAUCGGCUGUCCAAUCAAAAAAUGCAAAGUAUUAACAACCUGGUCCACAGUAAACUAUUUGAGGAUAGUGCGUGCCGACAUAUUCUUCUUCCUAUGAUCUUGACCCACACUUCUGAGCUGCUAAACAACAAACGAGAAAUGCCAGAAUGUGCCAAUGUUCUCAGUGAUAUCAUGGACAGUUUCUACUGUACAAGAAAUGUUGAUGAUUUGUCAAUAAUGAUCCAAAAGAUAUUCAGAACUGUGAUUCAAACAAUUAUUCAGAUGGAUUGGAAUCAAAGUCUUGUGGGCAACUAUGUUGCGAUAAUGAUGGCCAUUCUCAGUCAAAUGACUCAGCAUCACUACACUGUGUAUAUUAACAGCUUUGCAACACGUUUUGAUUUGCUUGAUUUCCUUACUGAAAUACUCAUGAUUCUACAACAUUUAAUAACUGAGAAUGUCUACAAGAAUGACUGGAAUGAGAUGAUUUUGCAUCAAAACAGCAUCAUUCUUCGAGCCUUGAGGUUUUUUGCCACAACAAUAAAAAGUAGCUUUUCUGAUCCAUUUGAAUAUGAGCUAUGGAAUGGAUUCUUCUUCUGUGCAGUAUCAUUUCUUACACAAAAGCCAUUGCAACUGGAGAAAUUCUCUCUUAAUAAAAGAAGUAAAAUUAUAGCCAGAUAUAAAGACAUGCGACGAGAGAUGGGGUUUGAAAUUCGAAGCAUGUGGUUCAAACUGGAUCAAAACAAACACCGGUUCAUUCCUGAUUUGGUUGGUAAAAUUUUGGAGAUGACACUUAUUCCUGAAACUAUUUUGAGGAAAGCCACUAUUCCAAUCUUCUUUGACAUGAUGCAGUGUGAGUUUCAGCAAAUCUCACCAGAUGGACGAAACUCUAAAAAUAAUUUUUCUGAGGUUGAAAACCAAAUAGUAACUCAGCUUGAUGUACUUGUUGAAGGUGGCUGUGGUGAUGAAGAAUACAUGGAACUUAUGUAUGAAAUCUUGAAAGAUUUAUUUGAAAAGCAUAAACAGAUGGCACAACAAGGAGAAGUAUUUGUUGAGAUGAUCCGUAAGCUACUACAACGGCUGUUACAGUAUAGAACAAUGAUCCAAGAUGAAGUUAAGGAUCAUAGAAUGAGUUGUAUUGUAAAUUUGUUGAAUUUUUAUCAUGAAAUUUGUCGUGAAGAACUAUAUGUUCGCUACCUGCAUAAACUGUGUGACCUGCAUUUAGACUGUGAUAAUUUUACUGAAGCUGCCUGUGCCCUCAAUUUGUAUGCUAAUAUGCUUGAAUGGUCUGAUAAAUCGGUUCCACCUGUACUCAUGAGUCAUCAGUACCCUGAAUACCAGACCCAAUUAACACUGAAAGAGAGGUUAUAUUAUGACAUGAUUGAUUACUUUGAGAGAGGCAAGAUGUGGGAAAAGGGAAUUGAACUGUGCAAAGAACUAGCAAAUCUCUAUGAAAAUGAACUCUUCGAUUAUGAACGCCUGAGUGAAUUACUGAAAAGGCAAGCUGAUCUAUAUGUUCAGAUCAUGAAAACAUUGAGAUAUGCCUCAGAAUAUUUUCGUGUUGCUUAUUAUGGCAGAGGUUUUCCAUCUUUUCUUCAGAACCAAGUAUACAUUUACCGAGGGAAAGAAUAUGAAAGGCUUACAGACUUCAGUGCUCGUUUGCUAACAAUGUUUCCAUAUGCCGAAAAACUGACCACUUUAUCCACUCCAGGAGAUGAUAUUAAAUUAUCUCCCAAACAGUACCUGCAGAUUAAUGCAGUUACACCAUGUUUAGAUCUGAAGAGUCAAUUCAAGAACAAGACAGUGAGUGAAUCAAUAUUAAGCUACUAUAUGGUCAAUGAAGUCCAAAAGUUUACCUAUUCUCGACGAAUGGAUGACAAUGUCAAAGACGUGAAGGACAUGUGGUUGGAACGCACAAUUUUAGUUAUAUCCCAUCCACUUCCAGGGAUUCUUCGCUGGUUUCCUGUUGUCUCUACUGAAGUGGUUGAAGUUAGUCCACUUGAAACCGCUAUUGAAACGCUAGAAACAACAAAUAAGAAACUUCAAGGACUAAUAGGCCAGCAUAACAAAGAUCCUAGUUUGAGGGUUGACCAGCUUACUAUGUUAUUGAGUGGAGUUGUUGAUCCUGCAGUUAACAAGGGUAUUCUCAACUACAAAGAGUUUUAUUCCACUGAAUUCCUAAUGAACCAUGAAAAUGACAAAAAUACUGUUGAUAUGAUUUCCAGGCUGAAGAGUUUAACUUUGGAGCAGGGUGCUUUGUUGAGAGAUGCCCUUCAGGUACACAAACGACUUUCUCCUGAAAGAAUAAAACCUUUACAUGCUCAUAUGGAGCAUCGGUUUGCUGAACUGUGUGAUUGCAUUGAACAGGAAUGUGGUUUGCGGAUUGCAGAGAAAGAUAUCACCAAUGCCAUGAGAAGAAAUCAAUCUUCCUUAUCAAUGUCCUCUUCUCCAAGAUACAGUAGUAGUUCAAUAGCAGCUAUAGCUGAGACAGGUUCACAUACUUUAAACCACAUACCUUCUCCAACUACCAAAAGUAACACUGCUCUCCGGUCGCGUUCGAUUUCCUGCGCUUCAGUAGCCGGUGUCGUAGCAGAAUGUGCAAAUGGUUUCCCAUUAAAAAGCAAAAACAGGCGCACAUCUCAACUACCUGAUGCCACUAACAGUGCAUCAAGUAGCCAACGUAAUUCUGUGGAGCAGCGCUUAGAGCUUAAUGAGCAGAAACACCCGAAUCAACCAGCGAUGAUUCUGAUUUCUAUGGCGAACCACCGCCGCUCCCGGAAAAGUUAACAUUUGCUGACUACACAAAUACUAUGGGAGAGGACUCACAAAUCGUUUCCCAUCGUCUAAUCACUACAGUUGGACCUAAGAACAAACCACCUCCUCCAAUCCCAGUUGAAGAAGAAAUACCACCUGUACCUAGAAAGCCACCACUUCCACGAUAACAUCAACAGACUUGCUCAAAGAUUCAUGACUGUGCUCUCAUCAUUUUUCAAGCAACAACAUUGUUUGUUUUUACUGCACUUGCCAGCAAGUGAAUUAGAGGAGAAGAGAUUACUCUGGCAGUGCCAGAUUUACACUAAAUUACUCUUGAGUCUAAAUGAAAUCUACAAAGCUAGACUGGAAGAAAAUCUCAUGAAAUUAAAAUGUUAUGGCAAUAUUUUUCCCCUCCAUAACAUCAAAACAUAAACCCAUGCACAUUUCACAUUUAUUUUUUUUCCUUUAUGCAUUUAAGUUUUUAUAAUUUCCUCUUCAAAUUUUAUCUAUAAAACUAAACAGAAAUAAUCUUUUGGGAGGAACGAACAUAUUUCAACUAUCUCUUGAACAAAUUUUAUAUAAAUUUAAUUUUUUUUUUUCCCUGUUCAACAGUUGGAAGUUACCUCCAUCUCUAUAUGUUGACAUUUUGGAGUAUUCCUCACUCCAUCUAAUAACAACACUAUUCAACGCUGGUUAUUUUCCUCCUUCCCCUACCUUAUUGAUAUCCUUGCCAGGGAUAUAACUCAACUGCUGGCAGCUGGCAAAUAGAUUUUGCUGUACGAAGACUAUUUUUAACAUUUUUAUUUUAAUCAUUUAUUUUUUAAAUGUCCAUCAAAGACAAUUUUACUCAUUCGUUGUGAUGGAAUUCGAUUCAUAUUUUCUAUUAGUUAUCCAUAUGUCCUGGAUAUUUUUAACAUUUAUAACUCUUAAGUAAUCAGUUUUAAGUAAAUCAAAUUGCACAUAAGUACAUCUGUAUUAUACUUAGAUCUGACUACUCAAUGUGCAUUUGUAUCCUGUGAGUUACAAGAAAUUCUUUUUUUAUGAGGUUCCCUCAAGGAAAAUAUUCUAGACAUAAAGUUAUAUAUCCUUCUCUUUUUAUCUGAAAAAUAUUCUAUAUUGAUUACUUUUCACUGAAAGUAACUAAGCAUAUAUACAUUCUUGGAAGUGCAUCUUUUCUGCCUUCAUUACACUUCCAUGUAUCAUAGUUGUGAAAUACAUUACAGUCUUUGUGAACACAUGACUGUAUAUUUGUUGAGUGCUGUUCAUGUUUACUUGUUAUGUAAUCGAAACAUAUGAAAGAAUUCUAUGAAUGAAAGGUUGAGCCGAGAAUCUCAUAUCUGAAUAUAAACACAAUUAAAACUGCUGUUUCCUCAUUCACACAUACACAAAUCACACAACCCCAUCCCCCCACUUAAAUGAUUAGCUAGGUACACAUAGACACACAAAUGCAACAACACUGGUUCAAAUUCUCUGUUUUACUGUGUGAAUAUUUAUAUGAAAUAUAACAUUAUUUAUGAUUUCACUGUUUAUUUUGAACAAUAGAUGUCAGGUGCUAAAUGAAUCACAAAAUACUGCUUUAAACUUUCUAAUUUAAGACUAUGAAAAUUGUUAGUAACCUGAAGAUUUUGGACAGUUUUUCUGUUUUCUUUCUUUAUACUUAAAAGGAUUUUUUUUGCAUCUUUUUUGAUUCUUCACUGAAAUACAUAAUUUACUGAAUUAAGUUAUUCAAAUCUACAACUACUAAUUUAUAUAUAUAAUAUACACACACACAUAUAUGCACACAUAGCCUUUUGUAUUCAUUUCUGUUAUUAUUGUUUUGUAAUAUAUGUGAAAAUCCUUCAUCAUACAUCUUUUAUCUUGUCACUGAUUGAAGCAGAUUACCAAUAAAUAUGUCAGAGUACAGCAAAAUACUUUCCACGUUUAAGGGUUUUUACUGUCAUCACAAAACAAUAAUAUAGCUGAAGUGAAUCUAGCAGCAAGCAAUUUUAAUGAAUCAAGGCUUUAGUAUGAUGCAAUUACUUUAAUAUUAACACACAAUUCCAAAUGAAAUCACGAACCAAGCAAGUGUAACCAAGAAGUACACAUCAUCAUCACCAUCAUCAUAAUUUUAUGCCCAUUUUACCAAACUGGAUAUAAGUCUGUAUUGUACGUGUGUGUGUGUGAUCGCAUAAAACAGAAGCUGUAACAAUAUUUUUAAAGAUUAAAGAUCUUAAUUCAUUCUUACUCAGUAUUUCAGUUUAGCAGAUCAUAAUUAUGAAAUGAAACUGAGCAAUUAAGCAGGUUUUUAAAUUCAUAUAUAUAUAUAUAUAUAAUUUCAUUUGGGUGUUGACCCUUGAGUUUACCCUAUUAUCCAUGGGUCCAAGUUAUCAGACAGACAGUAAUGCAGAGAUUGUUUGUUUUAUCAAAAACAUUCUUAAAAAUCCACACAUAUCCAGAGAUUUUACAAUUAUAAACAAAGAGAGGCAAGUCCUUUUAUUACAUUAAUUUGCACAAUUGUUUCAUCUGAAUUCAAUCUCAUGAAUAUUGCUAUAUUUGCAAAUAACUUUAUGCAUAAUAUAACAAUAUUCAUGAGAUCAAUUUCUGAUGGAACAAUUGCAAAUUAAUGUAAUAAAAGGAUUAGCUCAUUCCAUUUUCCUUGUUUGUACAUACAGACAUUCAAAUAUAUAUAUAGACACACACACACACACAUAUUUGUGUAGAAUAAAAACUGUCUUGAGGUAAAUUUUAGAUAUAUUAUUGUGGGUAGAAUUUUGUAGCUUAAUUUGAGAGAGGAAAACUACAGGUCUCCUGGUUUUACUAGUAAGAAACAAAUAUGCUUUGUGAUUUCUGUAAGUUAGCACAUGAUUAUUUUUUCAGAUCUCAAAUUGUUGUUUACAAAUAUAUUUUUUAAUGUUAUAAUUGUAGCUAACCAUUAUAUUAAAUAAAAAUAGACAUUAUGUAUAGUCUAUUUUUAUUUCCAAAUCAAGCAAGCUUAGUAGGCUUCUAAGUUUUUAGUUAACAUUAAGUCAGUGUAAGUCUGAAAAAAUUAAGGUAUUUUCUUGUAAAUUUUUUUUCAUACCUCUAGAAAUUUUAGAAUAAUUUUUUUAAUCCCAUAUAUCUUCAUCUCUAGAUUCACCUAUGAUUAACGGUUCUAAUAAAAAAUUUUGCUUUGAGAAGCUAUGUCUUCAUCAAGACAGAAUGCUAGCAAUUCUGUCAAGGUGGUUUCUUAACUAAGGAAGUUGAGGUUGGAUUGCAAUGUUCAGCUGCUAAACACUGUCAAAAUUGUUAUUACCUAUCUACACAAACACACACCUGUGGCACAUGCAUCAUCAUUCUCAGAGAGCUGAAAGAUUAAAAUGACUGUUGUGAAAUUGGAACCACAGAAACAGACCCUAAAUUAAGUAAUGGGAUCAACAUAAUUGACUAUAUCCCUGAAAGUAAUGCUCCAGCUUGGCAGGAUCCUGAUAAAUAAAGUCAGUAAAAGAAUACAUUCAUUUGUUAUCAGGAUUAGCUUGAACAAAGAUAUUUCUGCUGUUUGCAGAAUGAUAAAGUUAAAACUGCAUACACAAGACCUUACCUGAUGUGUUUUUGAUAUGUAGACUGCUUCCCUGACAUAGUUUACCUCAGCCAUAUUGUUGAUAUACAUAACCAGUAUCACUACAUUCCUUCUAUACAUAGAUUACUCUAAAUCUUGCCACUUCAAUAUAAUAUGCUUUGGUGCAGAGGUCUAAUAAGUUUGAAACGUAUUUGUUGUUUUCAUAGUUUACUUUAAAGACAUGAUCCAUUCCGAUGUGCAUUGUCUUUAAUUAUCAAAACAUUUAUCUCCCUUAUUUUCAAGAUUUUUAAGCAUUCCUAGAUUUUGUCUAUUGACUGCUUGAAUGAAUUCAGUUGAAAUUUUGUAACUCACUAUAUUAUAUGGGAGACCCCACUAAAUUAGUACAUGAUUGUAUAUAGCCAAAGAAUUUUGGCAGAUCUUGAAACAAUAGCGAUUUUUUAUUGAUACUUUUAGCUAAAGCUAUAUGUCUCAAUGUGUGCUUGACUCCAGUAACUUACUUGGUUGUAGGCAAACCGUUUUCACAUUGUAGUGUCUCUAGGCAAGUUAGUGUAGUGAAACCCAUCUCGUUUUCCCUCCCCACUGUUCAAAUAAACUUAUAGUCACUGUAGUUAUAGAAGUUCAUCAUUGCAAGUUUAAAAAAAUACUUAGCAGUUAAACAUUGCUUGCAUUAUUUAAUAACAUAAAAUUAGCUGUACUACUUCAUAGAAUCUAUUUUGGAGUAAUUGACUUUCGUAAUAUUUUAUUUUUAUAUCUUCCAUUAGUGAACAAUAGCAUUGUUAGUUAUAGGUUUCUAAUGAGCCAAUCAUUGGUUCACUAUACAGUGUUUUGGUGAAUGUCAUGUGGAAUAGCUUCCUUAUUUCCUUAACCACUUACUACUUUUUUUUAAAGAUAUAGUUAUGUUCUGUGAACCUUUUAUUGCCAAAUUUCCCGAAACAAAUGCAAAAAGAUGAUUCAGUUUUUGAAUCAAUAAGCAAUCAAGUGGCUGAAUGGUCUAAGAGGUUUGCUUCACAAGCAUAUGGUCCUCAGUUCAAUCCCACUGUGUAGCACUUUGAGCAAGUGUCUUUUACUAUUGUCUUGGAUCAGCCCAAGCUUUGUAAAUGAUUUUGGGUAAAUUGAAACUGUCUGAUGGACUGUACUUGUAAUUUAAAAUGGCAGCUUUCUCACUCACUGUACUAUGCUGAUUCUGGCUCAGUUACCUUAAAAGAAAGUACAAAUGUGUCUGGAAUAUUCAGCCACUUAAACUAUGUAUCUUUUGUUUUUCCCUGUCAUCCACAAACAUAUUUUGUCUAGCGUUUUCAUGCAAAUCUAUGAUUAAAGACAUUCCAGCCAUGACCAUCCCAUCUUUUCAAACAUUGUUUAUCUUAUAUGUCAUUUUCUACUAUGUUCUUCCUUUUUCUAAGGAUAGUAGAGUGUGAUCCAAAAGAGAUUUAACUGCUAUUUCUUGUUUGUCAAGCAACCACAAACAUGCUUUCUCACUGACUUUGAUGGUGAUGAUCUAGUAAAAUAGAAAUAUUUAAUGUAAUCAAUGUGAAGUUUGGCUAAACAUAGGAAUUUUAAUAAAUUGAAUUUUUUUGACAUCCAU
rnacentral:misc_RNA from 1 species